UAAACUUAGAACUGGGCUAAUAUACUAUUAAUAGCACCAAGUCAUUGGUGCUACCAAGUUUUUGGCCAUUGGAUUAAGAGAUGUGCGGUUAAGAUGAUGUGGGCCCCCUAGGGUUGAGUGGGUGGUUGGUUGAAUAGUAUGAUCUAACGGGUGAAAAUGAUCAAAAGGGUAGAUCUAACGGCGGAAAACUUGAUAGCACCAAGUGCUUCGUGCUAUUAAUAGCAUAGCAGCCGGACUCUAUAAACUUAUAGAUUACGUCUCCUAUAUUUUCAAAAGUACGAAUAUUUUCAUAUUUAUAAGUUUUUUUUUUAUUUUUUAUGAUGGAGCAUAUGAUUCGACGAUCAGCUUCGUUAAGCAUGAUUUACGCUAUUAGAACUAUUUAAAAAUCAAAUUUCAUAAUUUUUGACAUUAUUUACCAAGUGAUCAAAGAGUCUUAAAAAUGACUAUUUUAAUAGCCAAUGUAGCGCGUUUUAAAGUUCAAUGGUGCAGAAUAAUGCAAAUUAUAUGAAACUUUAAUAAAAAAUUCUACUUAACAUUAAGAGCAAGAAUAAUACUUUCAAUUUAAAAUUUUAGUCUUUUAUUAUUAUUUUUUAUAAGGUUUUUUUUUUUCAGCCGUUUAUUUUGAGCUUACUCAUUCACUAGGCAAAAAAAAUUAAAAAAUUAUGAAAUUUGAUUUUUAAAUAGUUUUAAUAGUGUAGAUCAUGUCUAACAGAGUCGACCGCCGAAUCAGAUGCUCCAUCGUCGAAAAUAAUCUACAAGUACGGAGGCCUCCGUACUUUCGAAAGUAUAGAAGCCUACCUCUAUAUAUAUAUAUAGAGAGAGAGAGAGAGAGAGAGAGAGAGAGAGAAUGAUU
rnacentral:lncRNA from 1 species